GAACUGAAGAGUUUGAUCCUGGCUCAGAUUGAACGCUGGCGGCAUGCUUUACACAUGCAAGUCGAACGCGAAAGGGGGGCAACCCCCGAGUAGAGUGGCGAACGGGUGAGUAAUACAUCGGAACAUAUCCUGUAGCGGGGGAUAACCUCGAGAAAUCGAGGCUAAUACCGCAUACGUCCUACGGGAGAAAGCGGGGGAUCGCAAGACCUCGCACUAUAGGAGUGGCCGAUGUCGGAUUAGCUAGUUGGCGGGGUAAAAGCCCACCAAGGCUACGAUCCGUAGCUGGUCUGAGAGGAUGAUCAGCCACACUGGGACUGAGACACGGCCCAGACUCCUACGGGAGGCAGCAG
rnacentral:ncRNA from 1 species